UUUAACCCCUGCGAGUUAGACACAGAAAGCCUGAACUCCCGUGAGAUGACAUUUGUCCUUUUUUCAUGCAUGACUUGGAUGUCAAUGAUGAGGACUCGUACCACCAAAUUCCAGUAGGAAUCCUCGGCAUUGAUGCAGAAAUUCUACAGCUAAACAACUCUUGGAAGGGAAUUCAGCGGAACCGGACAACUUGCCUGAGGCCUUCGGUCUUCUGUUUGGACUCAUUUAUGCCCUACACAUGGACUAUUUAAGGACUAUGAAAAACACUUUCUAUUUCAUCCAGCAGGUAUUUCUUAACCUUGGCAAGGUUGAGCUUCCACCCAAAAUUCAAUCACUGAAAAAUCCAUUUUACCGUGUAAAAAGGUUUUCUCCACAAAACAUCUGAAUGACGUUUCUAUUCAUUUUUUAUACAUUUAUUCACUUUUGGAAAAAAAGGCCAUGGUCUGCUUUUGUUCAAAAGACCCUCCCUCUCAGGUAGGUGGGCGGGACUUUGGGGUAUUUUUUCAUAAAUUGGGAGACCCCACAAGACCAUUCACCCACUUUCUGCUCGAGCAUCCAACGUGGAAUUCUUUUGCUGAAGUUUUUUGGAAAACCUUCUUGAUUCAAGAAUGGCUUCUCAAAGCAAUGUGCACAGAGGACACUACCUUCUUUGCCCAACAUGCAAGAAGAUGCAGUCCACCCUAUCGGUUCACCUGCGCAGGGUGUGCAUGAAAAAUGCAACACCGGAGGCGAUCGCUGAGGUGGUGGAAAAGGAGAAGGUUGAUUGAGGAAAUGGAGCGUCGCCACAUGGUGGUGACUGAUAUUCCUCCAGCACUGGCAGCGGCACAAAGUAAAAAGACAGCAGGUAGCCCCUCACGGACGACUGCCGGCGAAUAAAACAAAGCACAACUAAAAGCCAGGCCUGGACCACUCUCAUCAACGGUCUGGUCGCUCGUAUCCAGAAAAGUUCUGAGAGGGGAGCGAGUACUGAAGCAGAUAAACACUGAAGUAGAAUAGUAUGAACCCAAGUCAGUUAUGCUCAUGAUAUAUCAUAUGUCAUUAGAGUGAUGUGUAAAGUGCCAUUUGGAAGAAUAAAGCUGUCUGUUGUUCAAGAGUGGCCUGACACAAGGAAUGCGACAAGCUGAAACCCAUGUCUUGCAUUCGUUUUGUGUGUAGUGGUUCUUGAAGCACUGACUCCAGCUGCAGUCCACUCUUUGUGAAUCCUCCCCACAUUUUUGAAUGGGUUUUGUUCACAAUCCUCUCCAGGGUGCGAUUAUCACUAUUGCUUGUUAACUUUUUUUCUACCACAUCUUUCCCUUCCCUUCUCCUCUCUAUUAAUGUGCUUGGGCACAGAGCUCUGUGAACAGCCAGCAUCUUUUGCAAUGACCUUUUGUGUCUUGCCCUCCUUGUGCAAGGUGUCAAUAGUCGUCUUUUUGACAACUGUCAAGUUAGCAGUCUUCCUCAUG